rnacentral:sRNA from 1 species
UUAGUCAACGGUAAGUGGAACGAAGUGAGCAUUAAGGAGUUGACUAAUUCCCAACA